rnacentral:rRNA from 1 species
GGGUUGUGAGGUUAAGCGACUAAGCGUACACGGUGGAUGCCCUGGCAGUCAGAGGCGAUGAAGGACGUGCUAAUCUGCGAAAAGCGCCGGCGAGGUGAUAUGAACCUUUGACCCGGCGAUGUCCGAAUGGGGAAACCCAGUGUGUUCCGACACACUAUCGUUAACUGAAUACAUAGGUUAACGAGGCGAACCGGGGGAACUGAAACAUCUAAGUACCCCGAGGAAAAGAAAUCAACCGAGAUUCCCCCAGUAGCGGCGAGCGAACGGGGAGCAGCCCAGAGUCUGAAUCAGCUUGUGUGUUAGUGGAAGCGUCUGGAAAGUCGCACGGUACAGGGUGAAAGUCCCGUACACGAAAGCACACAGGCUGUGAACUCGAAGAGUAGGGCGGGACACGUGGUAUCCUGUCUGAAUAUGGGGGGACCAUCCUCCAAGGCUAAAUACUCCUGACUGACCGAUAGUGAACCAGUACCGUGAGGGAAAGGCGAAAAGAACCCCGGCGAGGGGAGUGAAAAAGAACCUGAAACCGUGUACGUACAAGCAGUGGGAGCCUCUUUUAUGGGGUGACUGCGUACCUUUUGUAUAAUGGGUCAGCGACUUAUAUUCUGUAGCAAGGUUAACCGUAUAGGGGAGCCGAAGGGAAACCGAGUCUUAACUGGGCGUUAAGUUGCAGGGUAUAGACCCGAAACCCGGUGAUCUAGCCAUGGGCAGGUUGAAGGUUGGGUAACACUAACUGGAGGACCGAACCGACUAAUGUUGAAAAAUUAGCGGAUGACUUGUGGCUGGGGGUGAAAGGCCAAUCAAACCGGGAGAUAGCUGGUUCUCCCCGAAAGCUAUUUAGGUAGCGCCUCGUGAACUCAUCUUCGGGGGUAGAGCACUGUUUCGGCUAGGGGGCCAUCCCGGCUUACCAACCCGAUGCAAACUACGAAUACCGAAGAAUGUUAUCACGGGAGACACACGGCGGGUGCUAACGUCCGUCGUGAAGAGGGAAACAACCCAGACCGCCAGCUAAGGUCCCAAAGUCAUGGUUAAGUGGGAAACGAUGUGGGAAGGCACAGACAGCCAGGAUGUUGGCUUAGAAGCAGCCAUCAUUUAAAGAAAGCGUAAUAGCUCACUGGUCGAGUCGGCCUGCGCGGAAGAUGUAACGGGGCUAAACCAUGCACCGAAGCUGCGGCAGCGACGCUUAUGCGUUGUUGGGUAGGGGAGCGUUCUGUAAGCCGUUGAAGGUGUCCUGUGAGGGGUGCUGGAGGUAUCAGAAGUGCGAAUGCUGACAUAAGUAACGAUAAAGCGGGUGAAAAGCCCGCUCGCCGGAAGACCAAGGGUUCCUGUCCAACGUUAAUCGGGGCAGGGUGAGUCGACCCCUAAGGCGAGGCCGAAAGGCGUAGUCGAUGGGAAACAGGUUAAUAUUCCUGUACUUGGUGUUACUGCGAAGGGGGGACGGAGAAGGCUAUGUUAGCCGGGCGACGGUUGUCCCGGUUUAAGCAUGUAGGCGGAGGUUCCAGGUAAAUCCGGUUCCUUAUUAACGCUGAGGUGUGAUGACGAGGCACUACGGUGCUGAAGUAACAAAUGCCCUGCUUCCAGGAAAAGCCUCUAAGCAUCAGGUAACAUCAAAUCGUACCCCAAACCGACACAGGUGGUCAGGUAGAGAAUACCAAGGCGCUUGAGAGAACUCGGGUGAAGGAACUAGGCAAAAUGGUGCCGUAACUUCGGGAGAAGGCACGCUGAUAUGUAGGUGAAGCCCCUGCGGGUGGAGCUGAAAUCAGUCGAAGAUACCAGCUGGCUGCAACUGUUUAUUAAAAACACAGCACUGUGCAAACACGAAAGUGGACGUAUACGGUGUGACGCCUGCCCGGUGCCGGAAGGUUAAUUGAUGGGGUUAGCGGCAACGCGAAGCUCUUGAUCGAAGCCCCGGUAAACGGCGGCCGUAACUAUAACGGUCCUAAGGUAGCGAAAUUCCUUGUCGGGUAAGUUCCGACCUGCACGAAUGGCGUAAUGAUGGCCAGGCUGUCUCCACCCGAGACUCAGUGAAAUUGAACUCGCUGUGAAGAUGCAGUGUACCCGCGGCAAGACGGAAAGACCCCGUGAACCUUUACUAUAGCUUGACACUGAACACUGGUCCUUGAUGUGUAGGAUAGGUGGGAGGCUUUGAAGCGUGGACGCCAGUCUGCGUGGAGCCAACCUUGAAAUACCACCCUUUAAUGGCUGGUGUUCUAACGUAGACCCGUGAUCCGGGUUGCGGACAGUGUCUGGUGGGUAGUUUGACUGGGGCGGUCUCCUCCCAAAGAGUAACGGAGGAGCACGAAGGUUAGCUAAUCCUGGUCGGACAUCAGGAGGUUAGUGCAAUGGCAUAAGCUAGCUUGACUGCGAGAGUGACGGCUCGAGCAGGUGCGAAAGCAGGUCAUAGUGAUCCGGUGGUUCUGAAUGGAAGGGCCAUCGCUCAACGGAUAAAAGGUACUCCGGGGAUAACAGGCUGAUACCGCCCAAGAGUUCAUAUCGACGGCGGUGUUUGGCACCUCGAUGUCGGCUCAUCACAUCCUGGGGCUGAAGUAGGUCCCAAGGGUAUGGCUGUUCGCCAUUUAAAGUGGUACGCGAGCUGGGUUUAGAACGUCGUGAGACAGUUCGGUCCCUAUCUGCCGUGGGCGCUGGAGAAUUGAGGGGGGCUGCUCCUAGUACGAGAGGACCGGAGUGGACGCAUCACUGGUGUUCGGGUUGUCAUGCCAAUGGCACUGCCCGGUAGCUAAAUGCGGAAGAGAUAAGUGCUGAAAGCAUCUAAGCACGAAACUUGCCCCGAGAUGAGUUCUCCCUGAGACUUUAAGUCUCCUGAAGGAACGUUGAAGACUACGACGUUGAUAGGUCGGGUGUGUAAGCGCAGCGAUGCGUUGAGCUAACCGAUACUAAUGAACCGUGAGGCUUAACCUUACAACGCCGAAG